UACGGGGGGCGCAAGCGUUGUUCGGAUUUACUGGGCGUAAAGGGCGCGUAGGCGGCCACCACAAGUCACUUGUGAAAUCUCCGGGCUUAACCCGGUAGCGGCCAAGUGAUACUGUUGGGCUAGAGUGCGGAAGGGGCAACUGGAAUUCUCGGUGUAGCGGUGAAAUGCGUAGAUAUCGAGAGGAACACCUGCGGCGAAGGCGGGUUGCUGGGCCGACACUGACGCUGAGGCGCGAAAGCUAGGGGAGCGAACGGG
rnacentral:rRNA from 1 species